CCUACGGGCGGCAGCAGUGAGGAAUAUUGGUCAAUGGACGAGAGUCUGAACCAGCCAAGUAGCGUGAAGGAUGACUGUCCUAUGGGUUGUAAACUUCUUUUAUAAAGGAAUAAAACGAGGCACGUGUGCCUUGUUGCAUGUACUUUAUGAAUAAGGAUCGGCUAACUCCGUGCCAGCAGCCGCGGUAAUACGGAGGAUACGAGCGUUAUCCGGAUUUAUUGGGUUUAAAGGGAGCGUAGAUGGGUUGUUAAGUCAGUUGUGAAAGUUUGCGGCUCAACCGUGAAAUUGCAAUUGAUACUGGCAGUCUUGAGUACGGUAGAGGUAGGCGGAAUUCGUGGUGUAGCGGUGAAAUGCUUAGAUAUCACGCAGAACCCCGAUUGCGAAGGCAGCUUACUAAACUGUGACUGACAUUGAUGCUCGAAAGUGUGGGUAUCAAACAGGAUUAGAUACCCGAGUAGUC
rnacentral:rRNA from 1 species